rnacentral:rRNA from 1 species
GACGAAGGGGGCUAGCGUUGUUCGGAAUUACUGGGCGUAAAGCGCGUGUAGGCGGUUGCCCAAGUCGGGUGUGAAAGCCUUGAGCUCAACUCAAGAAAUGCACUCGGUACUGGGUGACUAGAGGACCAGAGAGGAUAGUGGAAUUCCCAGUGUAGUGGUGAAAUACGUAGAGAUUGGGAAGAACACCAGUGGCGAAGGCGGCUAUCUGGACGGUUUCUGACGCUAAGACGCGAAAGCGUGGGGAGCAAACAGG